rnacentral:lncRNA from 1 species
UUUCCUGUCUUCUCGUGGAUUAUUUGAAUACUUCCUCCGAGAUUUUGCUCUCAGCAGUUCAGCUUUUAGUAGUACCUACCUCUCCUCGGUCUAUUUGGGGUCCAUAUUGUACCACUUCACUUACAUUGUAGAAUCGGCCACUGCAUAGGCCACAGGUCCUUCAGACCCUUCCCACCAUUUGGCACCAUCGUGGUGACACGGCUUACAUCUCCACACAUCACAAAUCCCACAAGGUAGUGGCAUAACUUUUGCUUUCAAAAUCAUAUAGAUUGCAAAGAAAUCUAAGAGGCUAGAGAGUCCUUAGCAAUCUUUCACCACCGGGUUACCAUUUAUAGAAAGUACUCUUCGAUGCAGCCUGAAGUUCCAAGUUUCUCCUGGGAUAACAUCCCCCAAGGUUGAAGAACUUCCAUUAGCAUUUUGUAUAGUGUAUUUCUGCCAGUGACAAGAUCUCUUAGGCUUCUUUUAUCCGAAAAUACUUGUUUUAACUGGUUAUAGAAUUCUGGGGUUGACGGUUUCUCUUCAGCCUCUUGAUCCGUCUCUGAUCGCCAUCUUUACUGGAGAACUCCAGGAACACCUGAAUCACAGUCCCCCUGCUUGUAAUGUGUUGUUUUUAUCAGGCUGCUUUCAAGACUUUAAAAAAAUCUGUGCCUCUUUUUAGACUGGAUAAUUCCUACCAAUGUAUUUCCAGUGCAUGAAGUCUCUCAUCCCCAUUCUGCUAUUAGGUUUACCACUAAAAUUGCGGGUACUGUAUUUUCUGGGUUAGAAUAUCCAUUUUGUUCUUUAAUAUUUUCUAUUUCUCUGCCAAGAUUUCUCAUUUUUCAGCAUUACACAGGUAAUUUCCUUUUACCUGUUGUAGCAUAGUUAUAAUAAAUAGUUGCUUAAAAUCCUUGUCUAAUUCCAACACUUUUUUUUUUUUUUUUUUAAUGUAGGCUCCAGGGAUCCCGGGGUGGCGCAGCGGUUUGGCGCCUGCCUUUGGCCCAGGGCGCGAUCCGGGAGACCCUGGAUCGAAUCCCACGUCAGGCUCCCGGUGCAUGGAGCCUGCUUCUCCCUCUGCCUGUGUCUCUGUAUCUCUCUCUCUCUCUCUGUGACUAUCAUAAAUAAAUAAAAAUUAAAAAAAAAUAAUGUAGGCUCCACACCCAACACGGGGUUUGAACUCACGACCUUGCAAGAGUUGCAUGCUCUACCCACUGAGCCAACGAGGCACCCCCUAACAUUUGGGUUCUCUUGGUCAUCUUAUCUUUUCCCUUGAGAAUGAGUCACAUUUCCCUAAUUCUAUGUAUAUUAAUUAGGUAAUUUUGAACUGUGUCUGGAUAUUCUGUUAACAUUGUAGAACAUUCUGGAUUCUGUUAUAUUCCUCCAAAGGAUGUGAAAAGGUCUUAUUGUGGCGAUAUUUGUAUUUGCUAGACCCGACCAGCUGCAGUGGGUAACUGUAAAUCCAGAUCUCUUCAGUCCUGCUUUGAGUUGGCCCCACACAUCCAUAGCGUCCUGGUCAGCAAGAGACUUGGGCUGAAUUUAUAGAUGUAACUUGGGGGAAGGAACUUCCCUAGCACUCUCCUUUCAGAUCAUUGUGGUUACUCUCCCUAUAAAUAUUUAAUAUUAUUAAUUAAUUAAUUAUUAAUGUAUUAUUAAUUUAAUAUUAUAUUUAAUAUUUAUUUUAUACUAAACUAUUCUUCAGGCCAGUAAGACAGUUGGGUUUAGCUGCCUGGUGCAGUGUCAGUGGCUGCAGCCUGCUCUCCAGCUAAUACUGCAGAAAAACGAACACAUACCAGAAAACUCAUACUGAGGUGGGCUUUUCCUGCAACUUUCAACUCACUCCCUAUACCAAAUCCACCUGCUUUUGAUCAACUCUCCAAAGCCUCCCAGUAGCUUUUAUUUUCAGUAUUUCGUCUAGAAUAUAUUGUUUACUUGUGGGGGUGGGGCGGUUGUCUGGUAGAAGUUUACUCCACCACACCAGAAACAGAACUUCUGUAUUUUCUUUUUAAUAGACCUAAACCUAUUAUUUUUUUAGGAUUCAAACUGGGAAUCCUACACCCCACUAUCCAGGUCAUAUGCAAAGUGUCAGAGACCCAGGUACAAAGUCAGAAUGGCCAUAUCUUAUUAGCAAAGUCCAAAGGGCUCCUAAUAAAACAUGAGAAGGAUCAGUAGUUCCAGGAGGAAAGGAAACAUCUAAAGUUAUCCCUGUGGCCUUCUCUCUUAGAACCAAGGUGCUGGGUGGUCCCACGACUUGGCAGAGGCUCAGAGCACUUGGCAAAUGAGGUCCAGAGCUGAAUCUCUGCCACUGGCACACUAUGCCCCCCUCUAGCAAGCUAAUCCCCAACUUGAACCAGCACUCCUCACCCACCCUGCAAUGGUUGCUUCCUGAAGCAAGAUUUAUUUUUCAUUGUUUAUGUUGUUUUUUCCUUCCUUAAAAACUAUGACUGUGUGUCUUUGUAAACCUUUCAGUUCUGCACUACACACACCUAUUAUCUAUCCAAACAACAAAUGACAUUGUAAAAAUGCUACCACGCUAGUCUUUUGGAAGGAAUCAACAUCUCAAAUGCAUUUAUAUACUCUAUAACCGUGGCAUCGGGCUUUGGGGAGUCUUUCUCAAGCAUGUGCAAAGGAAACCAGCUCCAUGUCACUCAACAGCAGACUGAUUAAAUAGCUUAUGGUUCAUCUGUGGUUUUGGAAUUCAAUGCACAAUGCACUGACAAGGAUCUCUAAGACAUUGUGGGGAAAAAAAGCAUGUUGCAGAAAAAGUUACACAUAAUAGCAGCUAACAGGGAGCAACUUCUACUCAAAAGAAUGUAUUCAUUCAUUCAAUUCCCACAUGAUCAGAGGAAUGUACUAUUACCCCAUUUUACACAUGGGGCAACGGAGGCACAAAAGGUCACUUGCCCAAGGUCACAGAGCUAAGUAGUAGAGUCUGGGUCUAAAUCUGACAGUCUGGAAAGAUUCACUGUCAAAGGCUGCCAAGAGUGACCUCUGGGAGGUAUAUAUGAAAGUGGAUACUGCUAAUAUAUCCAAAAAGCAUCUCACAUUUCUCUCCAAAAUCCUGAAUUUAUCUGUGAAGUCAGCUGCUCCUGCUAUAUGGCCAACCUUGAGCUGCCAGGCCUAUGAGGCAGUAGGGAGGAAUCUUUUCACCCAUGUAUAUGUAUAUUGCUUCAAUUAUGUUACUACAAGCUUAAAAUCAAAAUCUGCCUGCCCUUCUGGAUCCAGCUGAAGGCCCUCCCUGAACACCUGGGGCUGCCAGAUUGUUUUCAGUGGCGACUGGGUCUCAGGACCUUGUGGAGGCAAAGCCCCAGUCACUAACAAGUAGUGGUACCACUAAAUAAAUGUCCUCUAAGCACCUUGUGUAAAAGCCUUCCCAUCAGCCCCCAUUUUGCCCAUACUUGUUAGGUCAGACUGUACCUUCAUUUACAGUAUGAACAUGACAACAGCAUCGAUCCCCAUGGGGGAGCUGUGAGGAUUCAAACAAUUUAGUUAAUGUGCAAGUAUUUUUCAAGGUACUACGCAGGUAGUGUGAGCAUGUUGGCUAUUAAACACUUUUGACUUGCCAACUCCAACCUAAGCCUCCAUUUUCUCAUCUGCAAAGGGCAAAUAGGACAUACCUCAAUAGAUAAACAUUUGUAUUUACCAAAAAAUAUGCAAGAAACUGAUAAAAAAGGGUCUCUGCUGUAAAGGGAAACCACAGAAUAAAGGUUUCCGAUGGGACUGAGAGCUUUUUAUUGUCAUUUUUUACCUUUGCUUUUUUUUUUUUUUUUUGGUAGCACCUGUUCCACUAGAAUGUUCUGAGGCUUCAACUUAACAGUUUGGCUACUACACAUACCACAGACAACAGAAGUGGGGUAUGGAGUGGAAGAAACCUGGCAGCCCCAAAGACAGCCCACUUCCUUUCAUUUAGUAACUCUAGCAUCCCAAAAGUAUUUGUUACCUUCACAGAUUAGAUCUCUUUCCCAAGUAGCUACAUUAUCUCCUGGAGGUAUUAGAAACCACAGGAUGA